rnacentral:rRNA from 1 species
UGCUUUUUGCUGACGAGUGGCGGACGGGUGAGUAAUGCUUGGGAAUCUGGCUUAUGGAGGGGGAUAACUACGGGAAACUGUAGCUAAUACCGCGUAGAAUCGAGAGAUGAAAGUGUGGGACCGCAAGGCCACAUGCCAUAAGAUGAGCCCAAGUGGGAUUAGGUAGUUGGUGGGGUAAAGGCCUACCAAGCCGACGAUCUCUAGCUGGUCUGAGAGGAUGACCAGCCACACUGGAACUGAGACACGGUCCAGACUCCUACGGGAGGCAGCAGUGGGGAAUAUUGCGCAAUGGGGGGAACCCUGACGCAGCCAUGCCGCGUGAAUGAAGAAGGCCUUCGGGUUGUAAAGUUCUUUCGGUGAUGAGGAAGGGUGGUGUUUUAAUAGAGCACUACAUUGACGUUAGUCACAGAAGAAGCACCGGCUAACUCCGUGCCAGCAGCCGCGGUAAUACGGAGGGUGCGAGCGUUAAUCGGAAUAACUGGGCGUAAAGGGCACGCAGGCGGUGACUUAAGUGAGAUGUGAAAUCCCCGAGCUUAACUUGGGAACUGCAUUUCAGACUGGGUUGCUAGAGUAUUUUAGGGAGGGGUAGAAUUCCACGUGUAGCGGUGAAAUGCGUAGAGAUGUGGAGGAAUACCGAAGGCGAAGGCAGCCCCUUGGGGAUAUACUGACGCUCAUGUGC